GUGGGGAAUAUUGCACAAUGGGCGCAAGCCUGAUGCAGCGACGCCGCGUGGGGGAUGACGGCCUUCGGGUUGUAAACCUCUUUCGACAGGGACGAAGCUUUUGUGACGGUACCUGUAUAAGAAGCACCGGCUAACUACGUGCCAGCAGCCGCGGUAAUACGUAGGGUGCGAGCGUUGUCCGGAAUUACUGGGCGUAAAGAGCUCGUAGGUGGUUUGUCGCGUCGUCUGUGAAAUUCCGGGGCUUAACUUCGGGCGUGCAGGCGAUACGGGCAUAACUUGAGUGCUGUAGGGGAGACUGGAAUUCCUGGUGUAGCGGUGGAAUGCGCAGAUAUCAGGAGGAACACCGAUGGCGAAGGCAGGUCUCUGGGCAGUAACUGACGCUGAGGAGCGAAAGCAUGGGGAGCGAACAGGAUUAGAAACCCCAGUAGUCC
rnacentral:rRNA from 1 species